rnacentral:rRNA from 1 species
GACGAACGCUGGCGGCGUGCCUAAUACAUGCAAGUCGAGCGAACUUGCGGGAGCUUGCUCCCAAAAGUUAGCGGCGGACGGGUGAGUAACACGUGGGCAACCUGCCUGUAAGACUGGGAUAACUUCGGGAAACCGGAGCUAAUACCGGAUAAUUCUUAUCAACACAUGUUGGUAAGCUAAAAGACGGCGUAAGCUGUCACUUACAGAUGGGCCCGCGGCGCAUUAGCUAGUUGGUGAGGUAACGGCUCACCAAGGCAACGAUGCGUAGCCGACCUGAGAGGGUGAUCGGCCACACUGGGACUGAGACACGGCCCAGACUCCUACGGGAGGCAGCAGUAGGGAAUCUUCCGCAAUGGACGAAAGUCUGACGGAGCAACGCCGCGUGAGUGAUGAAGGUUUUCGGAUUGUAAAACUCUGUUGUUAGGGAAGAACAAGUACGAGAGUAACUGCUCGUACCUUGACGGUACCUAACCAGAAAGCCACGGCUAACUACGUGCCAGCAGCCGCGGUAAUACGUAGGUGGCAAGCGUUGUCCGGAAUUAUUGGGCGUAAAGCGCGCGCAGGCGGUCCUUUAAGUCUGAUGUGAAAGCCCACGGCUCAACCGUGGAGGGUCAUUGGAAACUGGGGGACUUGAGUGCAGGAGAGAAGAGUGGAAUUCCACGUGUAGCGGUGAAAUGCGUAGAGAUGUGGAGGAACACCAGUGGCGAAGGCGACUCUUUGGCCUGUAACUGACGCUGAGGCGCGAAAGCGUGGGGAGCAAACAGGAUUAGAUACCCUGGUAGUCCACGCCGUAAACGAUGAGUGCUAACUGUUAGAGGGUUUCCGCCCUUUAAUGCUGCAGCAAACGCAUUAAGCACUGCGCCUGGGGAGUACGGCCGCAAGGCUGAAAGGCAUUGGAAUUGACGGGGACCCGCGGUGGAUGAGGAGCAUGUGGUUUAUGUCAAAGCAACGCGCAUAACCGUACUUGACCUGGACAUCCUCGGACAGAGAUACAUGGGUGCCUUCCCCUUCGGGGGACAGAGUGCUGCGUGGUGGUCGGCUGCUCGUGUCUCGAGACGUUGAGAUGUUGUGACUAAGUCCCGCGCAACCCUUGCCCCUAUAUUGCUUACCAUUUAGUUGAGCACUUGUAGCACUCACUGCUGAAUGAUAUCUGACAGGAAGGUAGGGGAUGUGGGUCAUGACCUCAUGUCAUCUUAUCACCAUAUGACUCACACCUACAUACAAUGCUACAAUGCAAUGUGUACAACUAAGCUGCUGAGACCGCAGAGGUUUAGCACAAUCCCAUAUCAUAAUUCUCAUCUUAGACUGCAACUCUGACAUACUCUCCUAUCUGAAAUCCGUAAUCA